UACGAAGGGGGCUAGCGUUGUUCGGAAUUACUGGGCGUAAAGCGCGCGCAGGCGGCUAUCCAAGUCAGUGGUGAAAGCCCGGAGCUCAACUCCGGAACUGCCAUUGAAACUGUUUAGCUUGAGGAUGAGAGAGGUGAGUGGAAUUCCCAGUGUAGAGGUGAAAUUCGUAGAUGUAGGAACACCGCGGUGCGAAGGCGGCUCACUGGCUCAUUACUGACGCUCAGGCGCGAUAGCGUGGGGAUCAAACAGG
rnacentral:rRNA from 1 species